AGUGGGGGUAUUCUUGGCCUCGGCCGAGUUUCGCGGCGGCCAGUGGUGCUGUGGAUCGCUCGUAAGUACGGUGCGCCUUUACGGGUGCCCUGCUGCCGACGGCUGCAGUGUGCCCUAGUCGUUGUUGGAGUGCCCGUUCGUUUACCUUGAAUAAAUUAGAGUGUUCAAAGCAGGCGUUGCGCCGUUGAAUACAUUAGCAUGGGAUAAUGGAAUAGGACUUUGGUUCUAUUUUGUUGGUUUCUAGGACCGAAGUAAUGAUUAAUAGGGAUAGUUGGGGGCAUUCGUAUUCAAUUGUCAGAGGUGAAAUUCUUGGAUUUAUGAAAGACGAACUUGGCGAAAGCAUCUGUCAAGGAUGUUUUCAUUAAUCAAGAACGAAAGUUAGGGGAUCGAAGACGAUCAGAUACCGUCGUAGUCUUAACCAUAAACUAUGCCGACCAAGGAUUGGAGGCCGUUACAUUAUUGACUCCUUCAGCACUUUGUGAGAAAUCACAAGUCUUCGGGCUUUGGGGGGAGUAUGGUCGCAAGGCUGAAACUUAAAGGAAUUGACGGAAGGGCACCACCAGGAGUGGAGCCUGCGGCUUAAUUUGACGCAACACGGGAAAACUUACCAGGUCCAGACAUAGGAAGGAUUGACAGAUUGAGAGCUCUUUCUUGAUUCUAUGGGUGGUGGUGCAUGGCCGUUCUUAGUUGGUGGAGUGAUUUGUCUGGUUAAUUCCGUUAACGAACGAGACCUUAACCUGCUAAAUAGUUAUGCGGAUCCAUCUACUCAAAGGGCGAAGCGAGACGGAUUUUCACCUCGGUGAUGCCGUGGCUGCGGAACUCUGGUCGAUCCGUAGAUAUACUUCUUAGAGGGACUAUUGGUAUCUAGCCAAUGGAAGUUUGAGGCAAUAACAGGUCUGUGAUGCCCUUUAGAUGUACUGGGCUGCACGCGCGCUACACUGAUGCAUUCAACGAGCACACAACCUUGGCUGAUGAGCCCGGGUAAUCCUUUGAAAUUGCAUCGUGCUGGGGAUAGAUGAUUGCAAUUAUUCAUCUUCAACGAGGAAUUCCUAGUAAGCGUGAGUCAUCAGCUCGCGUUGAUUACGUCCCUGCCCUUUGUACACACCGCCCGUCGCUCCUACCGAUUGAAUGGUCCGGUGAAAUUUUCGGAUUUCAACUAAUGCCUGUUGGCUCCGGCUGAUGGGUUAAGUUGAGAAAAGUUAAUUAAACCUUAUCAUUUAGAGGAAGGAGAAGUC
rnacentral:rRNA from 1 species